rnacentral:tRNA from 1 species
AAUAAGGUGCCUGACUAAAGGAUUAUUUUGAUAGAAUAAAUUAUGUAAUACAUUUACCCUUAUUA